GAAUGUUAACAAGAACUGAAAUAAAGUCAGGGAUUUAAGUCUAAAAGAAGAAAAUCUUCCUGACUACAAAUAUGUCUGGCAGUGUGAUCUAACUACUGGGAGGUUGGACGAAUCCAAAACGGCCAUGAGGAGAAUGGAUGCAACUUAACGUGGACGAUAACCUGAGCUCAAGAUCGAAGCUGGAGCUGUGGGGCUGCACCACCGGACCACCCAUAUAACCUGAUAUUAUUAAGAGGAACUCAAAUGACAUUUAUUAUGAUUUGUAUACACUAAUGAGGGAUGUGACUUCAGUUUGUAUGUCUUGAAUAAACAAAUAAUAUUCUUAUUGUA